rnacentral:rRNA from 1 species
UACGGGGGGGCAAGCGUUGUUCGGAAUUACUGGGCGUAAAGGGCUCGUAGGUGGCCAACUAAGUCAUACGUGAAAUCCCUCGGCUUAACCGGGGAACUGCGUCUGAUACUGGAUGGCUUGAGGUUGGGGAGAGGGAUGCGGAAUUCCAGGUGUAGCGGUGAAAUGCGUAGAUAAUCUGGAGGAACACCGGUGGCGGAAGGCGGAUCUC